rnacentral:rRNA from 1 species
GUUGUAUAGUCAAGUAAUUAAGUGCAUGUGGUGGAUGCCUUGGCAGUCAGAGGCGAUGAAAGACGUAAUAGCCUGCGAUAAGCUCCGGGGAGGCGGCAAAUAUCCUUUGAUCCGGAGAUUUCUGAAUGGGGGAACCCACCUACUUUAAGGUAGGUAUUGCAACAUGAAUACAUAGUGUUGCAAGGCGAACGAGGGGAAGUGAAACAUCUCAGUACCCUUAGGAAAAGAAAUCAAUUGAGAUUCCCUUAGUAGCGGCGAGCGAACGGGGAUCAGCCCAUUAAGUUAUGUGUGUUUUAGUGGAACGCUCUGGGAAGUGCGAACGUAGAGGGUGAUAUUCCCGUACACGAAAGGGCACACAUAAUGAUGACGAGUAGGGCGAGGCACGUGAAACCUUGUCUGAAUAUGGGGGGACCAUCCUCCAAGGCUAAAUACUCCUGACUGACCGAUAGUGAACCAGUACCGUGAGGGAA